rnacentral:snRNA from 1 species
GUGCUUGCUUUGGCAGCACAUAUACUAAAAUUGGAACGAUACAGAGAAGAUGAGCAUAGCCCCUGCACGAGGAUGACACACAAAUUCGUGAAGUGUUCCAUAUUUUU